GUUUGAGAAAGCAUAAACAAUUACAAAAGAAAUAUAUAGACAGAGGGCCACUACAUGGAAUUCUACUAGAUCCAAAAUUGGCAAGCCUCACCUCCAUAUCAAACAACUGAGAUACCAGCUACACCAAUCCUGGCCAGGUGCAUGGCUAUUUUGAUAUUUCUUUGUGUUGUUUGAGGCUCAUAAUUGUAAGUCUACACAUGAAAAAAUUAAAUAAAGGAAACAUAGCAGCUUUGUACAGUUCUGAUUGAAUCACUGACUACAUGACUGAUUUAACAGACUUUUCUGAAUUUGAUUUCAUCUGUAAUUCUAUAAAAACAAGUGGAAAAGAUGGAAAAGCAAGAAAAUGGAUAUCAAGAAAGGAAAUUGUUGAUCCACCUGAGGAAGAUGAAAACAUCUUUUUGUCUCAAAGAUUUCUUCCAGAUUUUCCAACUUUUUCUCAGUUGCAUCAAACAUCUAAAGUUCCUGCCAUUACAGCAGGCCAGUUCAACACACAAGUUCAACAAAUUGAAAGGCUUCAUAAUAACGUAGCAUCAAAACUGCUUCAACCUUCUGAUCUUUUAGAGGACCUUCCAAAUUCUCAAAGUCUCUUUUAUGAAGAAGAAUCAAACUCAUUAUCACAGCCAGCAAAACUAUCAAGCCAUAUGAACCAAACUCUUUCAGUUGUUGAGCCCUUGCUGUGGACACAUUGCAAAACUAGUGAUGGAAGUAAAAGUGUAUUACAAUCAACACUCAUUCCUAGUCAUGCUAAUAGGAAAUUAAAAGCAUUUAGUUUUGUGCCAGAUGCUACAACUACAGAGAAAAAAGUAUCCUUUGUUACUCCAUAUGCCUUCAAGCUUCCAGUGUCUAGGAAGUUUGGUUCUGAGAAAAGUGUGCUGAAUCUUCGAUCAGUUUCAGAAAUCCCUGAAAAAUAUCGACACGUGUUUAGCAAUUUUCCUUUUUUCAACAUUGUGCAGUCCAGAGUAUUUGAAGAUGUAUUAUAUACUGACCAACCACUGGUUGUUUGCGCUCCAACAGGAUCUGGGAAAACUGUUAUUUUUGAAUUAGCUAUUAUUCGUCUCUUAAUGAGAAUGGAAAAUUAUUCUGAAAAGGAGAGACAUUUUAAAAUUGUGUACAUGGCUCCUAUAAAAGCUCUCUGUAGUGAGCGUUUGGAGGACUGGAAGAGAAAGUUUGAUGCUUUUCAUCUCAAGUGUUUAGAGUUGACAGGGGAUACUGAUAUUGAUGAUUACUUUGAGCUGCAGAAAGUUUCCAUCAUUCUUACCACACCUGAAAAGUGGGACAGCAUGACAAGACGUUGGAGGGAUAACAAAUCAUUAGUUCAGAUGAUCAGACUGUUUUUGGUAGAUGAGAUUCAUCUGUUAAAUGAUAGUACUCGUGGAGCAACUAUAGAAGCUGUUGUGAGUCGUAUGAAGACUGUUCAAUCUUCUAUUUGUCGUCAGUUAGAAAACUCCAUAACAUCAGCUGCUGGGUUGCGAUUUUUGGCAGUAUCUGCAACAGUUCCAAAUGCAGAAGAUGUGGUAGAAUGGCUUGGAUCAUCUGAUGUUCCUGGUGUGAGCUACAAGAUGAGUGAUGAUCUUAGACCUGUGAAGCUUCGGAAAGUUGUUCUUGGAUAUCCUUUCAAAGAGGGCUGGUCUGAAUUUAAGUUUGACAUCUCACUAAGCUAUAAACUUAAUUAUGUUCUACACACCUACUCAGAGAGAAAACCUACGCUUGUGUUUUGUUCCACAAGAAAAGGAGUCAUGCAAACUGCAAACAUCCUCAGCAAGGAAACAAAGUUUGUAUAUAACUCAGAUCAUAAGCAACUGUUAGUAAAAACAGCCAACAUGCUUAGAGAUGGUAAACUUAGAGAUGUGGUCAUCAAUGGAAUAGGUUACCACCAUGCAGGACUAGAUUUUUCAGAUAGAAAAUACAUGGAGGAGCUUUUUGAGAGUGGAAAACUUCCAGUUUUAAUAUCCACCAGCACUCUUGCUAUGGGAGUAAACUUUCCUGCUCAUCUUGUUGUGGUAAAGUCAACUACACAGUAUGUGGCUGGCAGCUAUGAAGAAUAUUCUGACACCCAAAUCUUGCAGAUGAUUGGUCGAGCUGGCAGACCUCAGUUUGAUGAAUAUGCCACAGCUGUGAUUAUGACUAAACAGUCACAGAAGCCCAAAUAUCAGACCUUCUUGAAUGGAAUGCAAGUUGUUGAAAGCAGCCUCCAUAAGCACGUAGUGGAACACUUAAAUGCAGAGAUUGUGUUGCGUACUAUCACUGAUGUGUCCAUAGCUGUGGAAUGGCUCAAAUCAACAUUCUUGUACAUCAGAGUGUUAAAAAAUCCAAAGCAUUAUGGAAUUAAUACUGGCUUGUCUAAAGAAGAAAUAGAAAAGAAGCUACAAGAUAUGUGUCUCAAGGAACUGAAUGCUUUGACAAAGUACAAAUUGGUGAAAAUGGAUGAUGAUGGUUUUGAUUUGAAACCAACUGAGCAAGGAAGACUAAUGGCUCGAUAUUUUAUUGCCUUUGACACAAUAAAACAGUUUACAACACUGAAUGGAACUGAGACUUUGUGUGAUUUGGUAAGUGUGAUAUGUGGAUGUAAGGAGUUUGAAGAUGUUCAGUUGAGAAAUAAUGAAAAGAAAGUGUUAAAUACCCUUAACCAUGACAAACAUCAUCCUACUAUCAGAUUUCCAUUGACAGGAAGGAUCAAAACACGUAACUUGAAAGUAAAUUGCCUUAUUCAAGCAGCAUUGGGUUGUCUGCCAGUUCAAGAGGCUUCACUGAACCAAGAUUUAGCUCGCAUACUGAGAGCAGGGCAAAGAAUAACUAAAUGUCUUGCAGAGUUUCUUAGUAUAGAAGUGAAAGGUUUCAGUGGAUUGUUAAAUGCAAUAAUAUUAUCCAAGUGUUUUCGAGCUAAGUUGUGGGAAAACUCUAAACACGUAUCUCGUCAACUAGAGAAAAUAGGUGUAACUUUGUCAAAUGCUCUUGUGAAUGCUGGAAUCACAUCUUUUCAUAUUCUGGAAGAGACAAAUCCAAGAGAGUUAGAAAUGAUCACAAAUAGGCAUCCUCCAUUUGGAACUCAACUACGUGACACAGUGGAACACCUUCCUAAAUAUGAAAUAACAAUUGAACAGGGAGCUCGCUACAGCAGCUUUCAAGCUGAUCUUUGUAUUACACUCACACUCAGCAACUGGAAUAAACUUCAGAAUAGACAUACAGCUCCUGAAAAACAUGCUAGUCAGCUAAUUAUAGGAGAUACUGAUAACAAAGUAGUUCUUAAGCAACGCAUCAGUGACUACUUGUUAAUAAAAAACAAAGAAUGGGUGAGGAAAUUUGAAGUACAGCGUGCUUCAAAAGGGGAUCAGCUUUCUGUCAAUCUAAUUAGUGAGCACUACGUUGGUCUGGAUGUCCAGAGCACUUACACCCCAUUCUAUUUGGGUCCUAAGAAGAUUUCUGUUGGAAAAAAUUUUCCAACUCCCCAGGUUAAAGAAAAGAUUGAAAAUCCAUCACCGGGAAGUGACUUUGAUUUGAGUCCAUCAGUAAUUGAAGAAGCCAAAAGAGAUUUUAACUACCCAAUGCACCCUCAAUUAUCGGGCAUAGAACCUGGUCGAAGGACUUGUAAUCAUCAUUGUACCAACAAAAAACUCUGUGGCCAUGACUGUUGCAAGUUUGGGGUUACUUUUAAUGCUAAGAAACCAUCAGAAAAUCAUCUUAGUUCAUUUUUUGAUGAAUUGCAUCAUAGAGCUAAUUUCUUACCUAAACCUUCUUCAAAGAGAUUGAAGUUGGCAACAACAACCACACCUUCUAAGCCUACAAUUUCGAAGGAAGACCUGGUGGCAAGAUUUAGUUACACACCCUGUAGUAGAAGCACACCUAGGACCUCUGACACCUCUGUCACAACAGACACAUCUGAAGGAUGGGAUAUUUUUAACCUUUAUCAGUUAAACAAGGAGAAAGAGUAUGGAGAUUUAUACAGUGGUCAGAUGGUGAACUUGAAGACAUUGAAUUAAUUGAUUGUACUAGUGAUGACAGUCAAGAAUGUCUGAUGUAUUACUCUGGACCAAAUCUCUCUGAAAAGGAUUAUACCACUAACUGCACUGUGGUAGAGGACAAAGAUAUGUUGGUUGAUUCUAUUCUUGUUGAAGAUUUCCAAGACCAAGAAGGAGACACCAAACAUGCUUGUAAUCCAGCCCCUGAGAAAUCAG
rnacentral:misc_RNA from 1 species